rnacentral:rRNA from 1 species
CUAAUGACGCUGGCGGCAGGCCUAACACAUGCAAGUCGAGCGGAUGACGGGAGCCUUGCUCCCUUGAUUCAGCCGGCGGACGGGUGAGUAAUGCCUAGGAAUCUGCCUGGUAGUGGGGGACAACGUUUCGAAAGGAACGCUAAUACCGCAUACGUCCUACGGGAGAAAGCAGGGGACCUUCGGGCCUUGCGCUAUCAGAUGAGCCUAGGUCGGAUUAGCUAGUUGGUGGGGUAAUGGCUCACCAAGGCGACGAUCCGUAACUGGUCUGAGAGGAUGAUCAGUCACACUGGAACUGAGACACGGUCCAGACUCCUACGGGAGGCAGCAGUGGGGAAUAUUGGACAAUGGGCGAAAGCCUGAUCCAGCCAUGCCGCGUGUGUGAAGAAGGUCUUCGGAUUGUAAAGCACUUUAAGUUGGGAGGAAGGGCAUUAACCUAAUACGUUAGUGUUUUGACGUUACCGACAGAAUAAGCACCGGCUAACUCUGUGCCAGCAGCCGCGGUAAUACAGAGGGUGCAAGCGUUAAUCGGAAUUACUGGGCGUAAAGCGCGCGUAGGUGGUUUGUUAAGUUGGAUGUGAAAGCCCCGGGCUCAACCUGGGAACUGCAUCCAAAACUGGCAAGCUAGAGUACGGUAGAGGGUGGGUGGAAUUUCCUGUGUAGCGGUGAAAUGCGUAGAUAUAGGAAGGAACACCAGUGGCGAAGGCGACCACCUGGACUGAUACUGACACUGAGGUGCGAAAGCGUGGGGAGCAAACAGGAUUAGAUACCCUGGUAGUCCACGCCGUAAACGAUGUCAACUAGCCGUUGGAAUCCUUGAGGAUUUUAGUGGCGCAGCUAACGCAUUAAGUUGACCGCCUGGGGAGUACGGCCGCAAGGUAAACGGAAAAUAAGUGGGGGGGGGGG